UAUACAUGUAGAAGAGGUUAUAUACAAGCCUAAUGGUAACCACAUACCAAAAUGCACUGAUAAAUAUGCAAAGAAUAAAGAGAAAGAAAUCCAAAUACAUCACUAAUGAAAACC